rnacentral:rRNA from 1 species
GAUGAACGCUGGCGGCAUGCCUAAUACAUGCAAGUCGAACGAGAGGAAGGAAAGCUUGCUUUCCUGAAUCUAGUGGCGAACGGGUGAGUAACACGUAGGUAACCUGCCCAUGUGCCCGGGAUAACUUCUGGAAACGGAUGCUAAAACCGGAUAGGUAGCAGACAAGCAUUUGACUGCUAUUAAAGUGGCCUUGGCCAUGAACAUGGAUGGACCUGCGGUGCAUUAGCUGGUUGGUGAGGUAACGGCCCACCAAGGCGACGAUGCAUAGCGGCCUGAGAGGGCGGACGGCCACAUUGGGACUGAGACACGGGCCCAGACUCCUACGGGAGGCAGCAGUGGGGGAUAUUGCACAAUGGGGGAAACCCUGGAUGCAGCGACGCCGCGUGAGCGAAG